AUCACUACGAAUCGGUUGGGGUCACGGUUCGCCCUCGGAUCAGUCCGAUGGAGUUCGAAACAGCCAAACACCACUCGGGUGAUUAACCGUUAUCAUUCCUGGAGUAUACAAACGGAAACAAUUCUUUACCAUCAAACAACUGGGCCGCCUACAGUUUCGACGUAGCUAGCCGGUGGGCACCUAAGAAGAAAACGGUCUGUCGCUCCAGUCACAACUUGCAACUCGCUGCUGUUCACAUCAGUCUCUGGGCGCAGCGUCAAGCCUCGGUACACUCCACGGACUGUUCUUCGCUUGUAACAGCAACUGAACUGCAGCACAUCCACUACCGCUGCUUGGCGAGGGGAAUAAACAAUCCCAGACCAUGCAAGCAGGAUAUAUGCUGGUUGGGACGCUGCCCUACGUUUCGUGGUCACUCAGUUUACCGUUGGUGUCGCGCAAUAUCUUGUUGUAUUUUCUUUACGCGUAUCGAUAUCUGUAGGAAUGUUUGCGACGCGGACCAGCAAUAUCGGCGAACACAGAGAUUGGCUUACGAUGGCCCUUUUCUCCCAGUAACUGAAAGCUUGAUGUCGGAAAGGAAUUGUUGGCCAUUCGCUACGGCAGCGAGCUCUUUCCGUCGAGAAACAAGGGUUUCCAAUUUUUUCAUUUUGUAGCUAACGCUUCCUAUGGGGACCGGUGCAGGCACUGGCCGUCUUCAAUCACAAUCUUAAGAGUUCGUCACAUCUUCCAUGCCGGUGUAUGUGUACUGUGCCUCUACUACUGUCGAACGGGUCGCGUUGUACGAUACUUGAGGCACGACGAACAAUACGUGGAUAAAAAGGGGCACUGUAAAGAAGGUAAUACCCGUCACUUUCUGCUAUCUCUGAAUUCGUGCUGAAGCGGAGCUGCGCCAGUGUUACAUGCGCUAAUAUUCAACGCUACGAAGAGCUGGCCGCUUCCAGUAGGGGCCCGCCCCAGAAAAGAGGCCAAUUAAAGGCCAUGUGCCAUAGAAGGCCGUGAUACUGUAUUGCUAGGAUGACCACUGCAAUGGCAAGCAACGUUUUCAUCCAGCAGAAGUGUAAAGAGCCGCCAAAAGUGGUCCUUGGUUUACCGGAAGCUCGGGAUGCAGCCAUACUGCGCAAUGUGUCUCCACAGUGCGUGCUGAAUGAGUCCUCGGCUUGCACAGCAGAAGCGGGGAUGGCCCGUGGCCAAAGACUACCAUUGCUACGAGGGCUACAACCCAUCAGCUUGCACUGGCCGCGGAGGAGACAAAGGACCGGUUGUGUGGAUGGCGAGAAUCGCCAAGCAAUAGACAACAUCGUGUUUGAAGUCAUUCAUUCAACAAUAGGCGAGACUUUAAACAUAUUUGUCAUGCCCUCACACUCGUGACGUGUUUCUCUGGCAGAUUUGUGCCUGGGCCUCUCCUCAAGAUGUGGAAGUUUUAAGUACAGGCGUCUAAAAGUUCCCAGUACAUGUGGGUUAUGCCGCAGAUCAGUAGGGAAACGGAUGACGAUGAUGUUGACCCGUUCAGUGGAACACGUGUUUCAGUCAGUCUCGUUAACACACAUUCGACUGUCAUUGUUUUGCCUCAUCGGUCAGAAUGUGCUCACCGAGCCAUGUGUGUGUUGGCGGGGGGUGAGGGAGAUUACACUGCCCUCAACAUUUGCACAGAAAAGAAGAUAUCCCUACGGAGGAACGUUGUACUCACGGAAGGUGAAGACGCACGAUUUGCUUUCGACCCACGAUAAGGAACUCAUAUGGUGUUGGAUGAUCUUCCAAAGAGUUGCAGUCGGCAAUUCUUUCUGGAGCGUCGGCUGCCGUGGCCCGUAAUCCGGCACCGGGCAACGGCGGCAGCCACCCGCCUAUUCAACCGUGCAUUGUCAGCCCUACGCCCAGAUUGUCCCCAGAUACUGAGCAUGGCACCACGCUCCAGUCAAUACAUACCUUCGAAAUCGUGGGCAUACAAUGGAUCGUUGGGGUUUGGUGAUGGCUUGGACUUCACCAAAUAAACCACAGCAAACAGGCAAAGGCAUCCGCCGAUGCCACCGAUCACGUACCACUGGGUCAUAUCUGUGUCACUAGCGACGCACGUCGGUGCUGAUUCGGAACCAGUCUUCUGCGCUCCCUGUGCACACUCGCAAGUGUAGCCGGCGUCAGUGGCAGUACAUGAUAGCACAUACUUCGACGAUCCGCAGGGAUUGCUUACACAGGGAUCUGUUUUCUGGCACGUUUCUCCCUGGUCCGUAGUUACCGGUUCAUAGCCUGGCUGACAUGUGCACGAAUAUGUUGUUGCUCCCGUCACGAGACAAGCAGCCACUGCCUCUGUUCCGCCACAUGGGUUAGAAGAACAUGGCGUAGUUGUCGAUUUGAUUCGCUGGC
rnacentral:lncRNA from 1 species